rnacentral:rRNA from 1 species
CACGUAGGCACCAAGCGUUGUCCGGAUUUAUUGGGCGUAAAGAGCUCGUAGGCGGCUUGUCGCGUCGAAUGUGAAAUUUUAGGGCUCAACCCUGACAUUGCAUUCGAUACGGGCAGGCUUGAGUUCGGUAGGGGAGACUGGAAUUCCUGGUGUAGCGGUGAAAUGCGCAGAUAUCAGGAGGAACACCGGUGGCGAAGGCGGAUCUCUGGGCCAUUACUGACGCUGAGGAGCGAAAGCGUGGGGAGCGAACAGG